UACGGAGGGAGCUAGCGUUGUUCGGAAUUACUGGGCGUAAAGCGCACGUAGGCGGCUUUGUAAGUUAGAGGUGAAAGCCCGGGGCUCAACUCCGGAACUGCCUUUAAGACUGCAAUCGCUUGAAUCCAGGAGAGGUGAGUGGAAUUCCGAGUGUAGAGGUGAAAUUCGUAGAUAUUCGGAAGAACACCAGUGGCGAAGGCGGCUCGCUGGAACGGUACUGACGCUGAGGCGCGAAAAGCGUGGGGGAGCGAACAGG
rnacentral:rRNA from 1 species